UAGUCAUAUGCUUGUCUCAAAGAUUAAGCCAUGCAUGUCUAAGUAUAAACUGCUUUAUACUGUGAAACUGCGAAUGGCUCAUUAAAUCAGUUAUAGUUUAUUUGAUGGUACUUACUUACUCGGAUACCCGUAGUAAUUCUAGAGCUAAUACGUGCGUACAUCCCGACUUCUGGAAGGGACGUAUUUAUUAGAUAAAAGGCCGACCGGGCUUGCCCGACUCGCGGUGACUCAUGAUAACUUCACGAAUCGCAUGGCCUUGCGCCGGCGAUGUUUCAUUCAAAUUUCUGCCCUAUCAACUUUUGAUGGUAGGAUAGAGGCCUACCAUGGUGGUAACGGGUGACGGAGAAUUAGGGUUCGAUUCCGGAGAGGGAGCCUGAGAAACGGCUACCACAUCCAAGGAAGGCAGCAGGCGCGCAAAUU
rnacentral:rRNA from 1 species